rnacentral:lncRNA from 1 species
UAUAGCUUCUUUGGGUACUUAUAAUGUAAAAUAAUGAAAAAAAUUUCUCGAACUCAAAUUUUGUGAACCAGGGGGGGGGUGUCUUUUCCAACAAACUAAAAAUGGCUCGCGCACAAAAUUUAAAAGCUGCAAUCAUAUUUUGAGUUAACAGACGGAAAAUUUGUCGGGAUUUUAAUUACUGUACAAAAUUUCAGACAAUUUGGUUUAGUUUAAGCCCCUUAACUAUUCACGCAAAGUUACAAUUUUCCCA